AUUGAACGCUGGCGGCAGGCUUAACACAUGCAAGUCGAGCGGGGACUUCGGUCCUAGCGGCGAACGGGUGAGGAAUGCUUGGGAAUCCGCCUGGUAGUGGGGGAUAACGUUUCGAAAGGAACGCUAAUACCGCAUACGUCCUACGGGAGAAAGGGGGGGAUCUUCGGACCUCUCGCUAUCAGAUGAGCCCAAGUCGGAUUAGCUAGUUGGUGAGGUAAAGGCUCACCAAGGCGACGAUCCGUGGCUGGUCUGAGAGGAUGAUCAGCCACACUGGAACUGAGACACGGUCCAGACUCCUACGGGAGGCAGCAGUGGGGAAUAUUGGACAAUGGGCGAAAGCCUGAUCCAGCCAUGCCGCGUGUGUGAAGAAGGCCUUCGGGUUGUAAAGCACUUUAAGCGAGGAGGAAUGGCUCUGGGUUAAUACCCUUGAGCAGUGACGUUACUCGCAGAAUAAGCACCGGCUAACUCUGUGCCAGCCGCCGCCGUAAUAC
rnacentral:rRNA from 1 species